rnacentral:rRNA from 1 species
GGCGAACGGGUGCGUAACACGUAGACAACCUACCCCGGAGCGGGGGAUAACCACUGGAAACGGUGGCUAAUACCCCGUACGCUCUAACGAGGAAAGGCCUUCGGGUUGCUCUGGGAGGGGUCUGCGGCUAUCAGCUAGUUGGUGUGGUAACGGGCACCAAGGCGAUGACGGGUAGCUGGCCUGAGAGGGUGGUCAGCCACAUGGGGACUGAGAAACGGCCCAACUCCUACGGGAGGCAGCAGUGAGGAAUAUUUGCCCAAUGGGGGAAACCCUGAGGCAGCAACGCCGCGUGGAGGAUGACGUCCUUCGGGAUGUAAACUUCUUUUCAGGGGGAGCAGCAAGGAGCGUACCCCUGGAAGAAGUCACGGCUAACUACGUGCCAGCCGCCGCGG